rnacentral:lncRNA from 1 species
AGGGUUUUCUGAAUAUUGAAAGGAUUUUCCGGUUUUGCCCCAUUGUUUUGAAGCUUGAAAUAAUUACUAUCAAAGUCAGAGGAAGAGUUAACAUGAAUAAAUAUCACGCUAACUCAAAGAGAAGGUUUCAGACAACUCAUUCCGACAUUCAAGAAAGAUUCUUCUAAAAUUUGAAGGAAAUGAUGAAAAAAGUCCGUUUGAUUGCAAUUAUUUUUUUUCUGAACAUCGUCUUGCCCUAUGAGAUUCACUGCGCAUCUCUUUCAAAUGCACGAGGCAAUAUUUUACUGCAUCCUUAUGAUUAUGGCAGAAGAAAGGCUUUACGACGAUACGAGAGGCAAGCUAUGUUUGAGUCAGAAGGGUCAAAGGAUCAUGGAUAUGCCAGAAGAUUGUGCACUAUGUACGGAUGUGGCUGCACUCCUCCCCCUGGAGCCAGAUGUUGCAAAGGAUACAGAUACGACAAAUAUAGCAGAAAAUGUAGAAAAGUUCAUUAAAAGAAAUGCUAAUGAUGAGGAAAGCGAUGGCGAUAGUUUUUCGCAUUUUGUAAACUAUUCACGUUUGAAAAAAAUCAAAUUGAAGAAAAGUUA